AUAAUUAUAAAAAAUUAAGUAUGCCACUUAGGGCGAUGCCCACCUGAUCCGGUCACUCUGUGCCGGAUCAGGUUCUUUUA
rnacentral:sRNA from 2 species